UAAAAUACACAAAUGUAUAAUACCUUAAUUCAGGAGCACAGUCUGUCUUUACCGUAAAUAACUUCGAGAUUAAUAUGUAAGUUUACUUUGCUAAUCGAUGUUCCUGUAAUUCAGAUUUAUAUUUAUUUGUGAGACCCCCGUCACUAUUUAUAUUCACUCAAAGAAAGGGGUUCUCUGUUACUGGGAAAAUCUUAUCUGAUUCAGGAUCAAUUUAUCGGUUACACUCCCCUAUCACCAGUGAUUCUUUGUUGUAAGCUGACAUUCUGAAAAAGGGCAAGAACAUUAAAGAUAAAGGGAAACUAUAAACAAAAGAAAUUAUCAACAAAAAUAGAUUUACAGACGUCAACAAAGCCUGAAUGGUCAGACAUCUUGGUUUUCAUGAUCAUCAUUCAACAGGUCAAUACUGAACAGAAAACUUAAAGUUGAUAUUUU